CACGAACGCUGUCUGCAGGCUUAACACAUGCAAGUCGAACGCAUCCUUCGGGGUGAGUGGCAGACGGGUGAGUCACGCGUGGGAACGUGCCCUUCAGUUCGGGAUAACCCAGGGAAAAUUAGGCUAAUACCGGAUACGUGCGAGAGCAGAAAGAUUUAUCGCUGUAGGAUCGGCCCGCGUCUGAUUAGCUAGUUGGUGGGGUAAUGGCCCACUAACGCGACGAUCAGUAGCUGGUCUGAGAGGAUGAUCAGCCACAUUGGGACUGAGACACGGCCCAAACUCCUACGGGAGGCAGCAGUGGGGAAUAUUGGACAAUGGGCGCAAGCCUGAUCCAGCCAUGCCGCGUGAGUGAUGAAGGCCUUAGGGUUGUAAAGCUCUUUCAGCUGGGAAGAUAAUGACUGUACCAGCAGAAGAAGCCCCGGCUAACUCCGUGCCAGCAGCCGCCGUAA
rnacentral:rRNA from 1 species